rnacentral:rRNA from 1 species
GUCCACGCUGUAAACGAUGAGCACUAGGUGUCGCGGGUAUUGACCCCUGCGGUGCCGACGCUAACUCAUUAAGUGCUCCGCCUGGGGACUACGGCCGCAAGGUUAAAACUCAAAGGAAUUGACGGGGGCCCGCACAAGCGGUGGAGCAUGUGGUUCAAUUCGACGCAACGCGAAGAACCUUACCUGGGCUAGACGACGGAGGACAGCCCCAGAGAUGGGGUCUUCCCUUCGGGGACUUCCGGUUCAGGUGCUGCAUGGCUGUCGU